rnacentral:sRNA from 2 species
UAAUAACAUUGUUAGGUGAGAUUACUGUACAAGACAUACGCUACUGCCCAGAAAUGUCGAGAGACGCCAAUGGGUGAGCAGGUACUACCGGAUUAAGGUUUUACUUAAUGUAGCUGACAACAUUUAUAGAAAUAUGAAUGCUUAUGAUCUAAGCUUUACAGAGUCAAAGCUCAACGAGUGAAGAUGUGC